rnacentral:rRNA from 1 species
AUACGGAGGGGGCUAGCGUUGUUCGGAAUUACUGGGCGUAAAGCGUACGUAGGCGGACUGAUCAGUUGGGGUUGAAAUCCCAGGGCUUAACCCUGGAACUGCCUUCAAUACUGUCAGUCUUGAGAUUGGAAGAGGUGAGUGGAAUUCCUAGUGUAGAGGUGAAAUUCAUAGAUAUUAGGAGGAACACCAGUGGCGAAGGCGGCUCACUGGUCCAAUACUGACGCUGAGGUACGAAAGCGUGGGGAGCAAACAGGAUUAGAUACCCUAGUAGUCC